AGAACGAACGCUGGCGGCGUGCUUAACACAUGCAAGUCGAGUGCGCGCCUGUAGCAAUACAGGUGGCGCACGGCGCACGGGUGCGUAACACGUGGGUAAUCUGCCCUUCGAUGGGGAAUAACUCGCCGAAAGGCGAGCUAAUUCCGCAUAACAUUCCAAGGACUUCGGUUUUGGACUCAAAGGCGUAAGUCGUCGGAGGAGGAGCCCGCGCACGAUUAGCUAGUUGGUGAGGUAAUGGCUCACCAAGGCUAUGAUCGUUAGCUGGU
rnacentral:rRNA from 1 species